ensembl:processed_transcript
CACCCUUUGUCCCACAAGUGGGAGGGGGCGACCGUGGCGAGGGGUCCCAGAAUGGGCAACCGGCAUGGGGGUGUCGAUCGUGGGCACCGUUCCCCGCCUUUAGGUGCUCAGGGUACAAGGGGCCGAGGCCCCGCUCUCACCCACCCGCGCACGGACUCCAGCCCCGGGACCGACGGCAGUGGCGGCGCCCAUGCCCAGCGCAGGGGAGCGUCUGCAAAGUGUCGCGGAGAGAAGCGCCCACCCACCAGUAAGCGAGCGUAGCGGCAGAGGAGGGGGAGAACUGGAUGGCGGAGCGCAGAGACGUGGGCACUAACCGAAUCAGGCCUGCCGAGCCUGGGGCGCCUCUUCCUGGAGCCCAGCACUGCAUAAAGCUGGUUGAAACAGAAGAAUCAGAAGUUCAAGGUUAUCUUCUCCAAUAUAUUGAGUUGGAGGCCGGCCUGAGCUACAUGAAAUCGCAUCUUAAAACAAGGAUGGAGAGCAGCUGUGAUUCUUGCCAGUGACCCAGCAGGGGAAAGUAAGGUCUCCAGAGGAGACCAGCCAUUCCUAGG